UACGUAGGGUGCGAGCGUUAAUCGGAAUUACUGGGCGUAAAGCGUGCGCAGGCGGCUUCGCAAGUCAGACGUGAAAUCCCCGGGCUUAACCUGGGAAUGGCGUUUGAAACUACGGAGCUGGAGUGUGGCAGAGGGAGGUAGAAUUCCACGUGUAGCGGUGAAAUGCGUAGAUAUGUGGAGGAACACCAGUGGCGAAGGCGACUCUUUGGCCUGUAACUGACACUGAGGCGCGAAAGCGUGGGGAGCAAACAGG
rnacentral:rRNA from 1 species